rnacentral:rRNA from 1 species
GACGAACGCUGGCGGCGUGCUUAACACAUGCAAGUCGAACGGAAAGGCCCUGCUUUUGUGGGGUGCUCGAGCGGCGAACGGGUGAGUAACACGUGAGUAACCUGCCCUUGACUUUGGGAUAACUUCAGGAAACUGGGGCUAAUACCGGAUAGGAGCUCCUGCUGCAUGUUGUGGGUUGGAAAGUUUCGGCGGUUGGGGAUGGACUCGCGGCUUAUCAGCUUGUUGGUGGGGUAGUGGCUUACCAAGGCUUUGACGGGUAGCCGGCCUGAGAGGGUGACCGGCCACAUUGGGACUGAGAUACGGACCAGACUCCGACGGGAGGCAGCAGUGGGGAAUAGUGCACAAUGGGCGGAAGCCUGAUGCAGCAACGCCGCGUGCGGGAUGACGGGCUUCGGGUUGUAAACCGCUUUCGCCUGUGACGAAGAGUGAGUGACGGUAAUGGGUAAAGAAGCACCGGCUAACUACGUG